UAGCGGCGGACGGGUGAGUAACGCGUGGGAACGUGCCCAGAGGUACGGGAUAGCCCAGGGAAACUUGGAGUAAUACCGUAUGAGCCCUACGGGGGAAAGAUUUUAUCGCCUUUGGAUCGGCCCGCGUUGGAUUAGGUAGUUGGUGGGGUAAUGGCCUACCAAGCCGACGAUCCAUAGCUGGUUUGAGAGGAUGAUCAGCCACACUGGGACUGAGACACGGCCCAGACUCCUACGGGAGGCAGCAGUGGGGAAUCUUGGACAAUGGGGGAAACCCUGAUCCAGCCAUGCCGCGUGAGCGAUGAAGGCCUUAGGGUUGUAAAGCUCUUUCAGCUGGGAAGAUAAUGACGGUACCAGCAGAAGAAGCCCCGGCUAACUCCGUGCCAGCAGCCGCGGUAAUACGGAGGGGGCUAGCGUUGUUCGGAAUUACUGGGCGUAAAGCGCACGUAGGCGGACUGGAAAGUUGGGGGUGAAAUCCCGGGGCUCAACCUCGGAACUGCCUUCAAAACUCCCAGUCUGGAGU
rnacentral:rRNA from 1 species